CGCUGGCGGCGUGCCUAAUACAUGCAAGUCGAACGGUCUUUCUAUGGAAGCUUGCUUCCACUGAGAAGAUAGUGGCGAACGGGUGAGUAACACGUGGGUAACCUGCCCAUAAGAGGGGGAUAACAUCCGGAAACGGGUGCUAAUACCGCAUAGUUUUCUCGAUCGCAUGAUUGAGAAAGGAAAGACGGCCUUUGUGCUGUCGCUUAUGGAUGGACCCGCGGCGUAUUAGUUAGUUGGUGAGGUAAUGGCUCACCAAGACGAUGAUACGUAGCCGACCUGAGAGGGUGAUCGGCCACAUUGGGACUGAGACACGGCCCAAACUCCUACGGGAGGCAGCAGUAGGGAAUCUUCCGCAAUGGACGAAAGUCUGACGGAGCAACGCCGCGUGAGUGAAGAAAGGUUUUCGGAUCGUAAAACUCUGUUGUCAGAGAAGAACAAGUUGGAGAGUAACUGCUCCAGCCUUGACGGUAUCUGACCAGAAAGCCACGGCUAACUACGUGCCAGCCGCCGC
rnacentral:rRNA from 1 species